GAAUAGCGGGCGCGAUUCGCCCUUAGGGUUUGAUUCUGGCUCAGGACGAACGCUGGCGGCGUGGAUUAGGCAUGCAAGUCGAACGCGAAAGUAUUUCUUCGGAGAUACGAGUAGAGUGGCGGACGGGUGAGUAACGCGUAGGUAUCUACCUUUAAGUGGGGGACAGCCCCGGGAAACCGGGAUUAAUACCGCAUGUGGAACUUCGGUUCUAAAGAUGGCCUCUGUUUCAAGCUAUCGCUUAGAGAUGAGCCUGCGUCCUAUUAGCUAGUUGGUAAGGUAAUGGCUUACCAAGGCGAUGAUAGGUAGGCGGCUUUAACGAGUGGUCGCCCACACUGGGAUUGAGAUACGGCCCAGACUCCUACGGGAGGCAGCAGUCGAGAAUAGUCUACAAUGGGGGAAACCCUGAUAGUGCGACGCCGCGUGGAUGAAGAAGCAUUUCGGUGUGUAAAAUCCUUUUCUUUGUGAGCAGUGUUUGUAAGAUUAAUAGUUUUACGAAAGAGAUAUUAGCAAAGGAAUAAGCUCCGGCUAACUCCGUGCCAGCAGCCGCGGUAACACGGGGGGAGCAAGCGUUGUCCGGAAUUACUAGGCGUAAAGGGCAAGUAGGCGGAAUUGUAAGUCAGAUGUUAAAGGCACCGGCUCAACCGGUGUACGGCAUUUGAUACUGUAAUUCUAGAGUAAGGUGGGGGAAGAUGGAAUUCCUGGUGUAGCGGUGGAAUGCGCAGAUAUCAGGAAGAACACCAGAGGCGAAGGCGAUCUUCUAUACCAUUACUGACGCUAAAUUGCGAAGGUGUGGGUAUCAAACAGGAUUAGAUACCCUGGUAGUCCACACAGUAAACGAUAUACACUAGGUGUUGGGGGGAGAUAACCUUUCAGUGCCGUAGCUAACGCGUUAAGUGUAUCGCCUGGGGAGUACGAUCCCAAGGUUAAAACUCAAAGGAAUUGACGGGGCCCGCACAAGCGGUGGAGCAUGUGGUUUAAUUCGAUGCAACGCGAAGAACCUUACCUGGCUUGACAUCUGGGAAUCCUGUAGAGAUACGGGGGUGCCCUUUCGGGGGACUCAGUGACAGUGCGCAUGGCUGUCGUCAGCUCGUGUCGUGAGAUGUUUGGGUUAAGUCCAGCACGA
rnacentral:rRNA from 1 species